rfam:Chlorobi bacterium OLB7 TZ07_CHB004CONTIG000042, whole genome shotgun sequence.
CCCAGGGCGUUGCCCUGGGCUGGCAUGGGUCGCCCUUUCAGGGCU